AUGAAGGAAGUGGUAAGAAAGGAGAUAUUAAAGCUCCUUGAGGCAGGUAUUAUUUAUCCCGUUGCUGAUAGUGAAUGGGUAAGUCCUGUCCAUUGUGUUCCUAAAAAGGGAGGUAUUACCAUUGUUCCUAAUGAUAAAGAUGAAUUGAUCCCGCAGAGAAUUAUUACAGGUUAUAGGAUGGUAAUUGAUUUCCGUAAGUUAAAUAAAGCUACUAAGAAAGAUCAUUACCCUUUACCUUUUAUUGAUCAAAUGCUAGAAAGACUAUCCAAACACACACAUUUCUGCUUUCUAGAUGGUUAUUCUGGUUUCUCUCAGAUACCUGUGUCAGCGAAGGAUCAAUCUAAAACUACUUUUACUUGCCCUUUUGGUACUUUUGCUUAUAGACGUAUGCCUUUUGGUUUAUGUAAGGCACCUGCUACCUUUCGGAGAUGCAUGAUGGCUAUAUUCUCUGAUUUUUGUGAAAAGAUUUGUGAGAGAUGCGAAGACACUAGUCUCGUCCUGAAUUGGGGAAAGUGUCACUUUAUGGUUAAUGAAGGCAUUGUCUCGGGGCACAAGAUCUCUGAGAGAGGUAUUGAAGUUGAUAAAGCCAAAGUUGAUGCUAUUGAAAAGAUGCCAUGUCCCAAGGACAUAAAAGGUAUAAGAAGUUUUCUUGGUCACGCCGGUUUUUAUAGGAGGUUCAUUAAGGACUUUUCUAAAAUCUCUAGGCCUCUGACUAACUUAUUGCAAAAAGAUAUUCCUUUUGUCUUUGAUGAUGAUUGUGUAGAAGCAUUUGAAAUAUUUAAGAAAGCUUUGAUCACUGCACCUAUUGUCCAGCCUCCUGAUUGGAAUUUACCUAUUGAAAUUAUGUGUGAUGCUAGUGAUUAUGCUGUAGGUGUUGUUGUAGGGCAAAGAGUUGAUAAGAAAUUGAAUGUUAUCCAGUAUGCUAGUAAGACUCUUGAUACUGCCCAGAGAAAUUAUGCUACUACUGAAAAAGAAUUCUUAGCAGUUGUGUUUGCAUGUGAUAAGUUCAGACCUUAUAUCGUUGAUUCUAAAGUUACUAUUCACACUGAUCAUGCUGCUAUUAAAUAUCUUAUGGAAAAGAAAGAUGCUAAGCCUAGACUCAUUAGAUGGGUUCUCUUGCUCCAAGAAUUUGAUUUGCAUAUUAUUGAUAGAAAGGGAGCUGAGAACCCCGUUGCAGAUAACUUGUCUAGGUUAGAGAAUGUUCUUGAUGACCCACUGCCUAUUAAUGAUAGCUUUCCCGAUGAACAAUUAGCGGUCGUCAAUGCUUCUUGUACUGCUCCUUGGUAUGCUGAUUAUGCUAAUUACAUUGUUGCUAAAUUUAUACCGCCUAGUUUCACAUACCAGCAAAAGAAAAAGUUCUUUUAUGAUUUAAGACAUUACUUCUGGGAUGAUCCACACCUUUAUAAAGAAGGAGUAGAUGGUGUUAUUAGACGUUGUGUGCCUGAGCAUGAAAAUGAACAGAUUCUACGUAAGUGUCACUCUGAAUCUUAUGGAGGACAUCACGCUGGAGAUAGAAUUGCACACAAGGUACUACAAUCUGAUUUUUAUUGGCCUACUCUCUUCAAAGAUGCUCGUAAGUUUGUCUUAUCUUGUGAUGAAUGCCAAAGAGUAGGUAACAUUAGUAGACAUCAAGAAAUGCCUAUGAAUUAUUCUCUUGUUAUUGAACCAUUUGAUGUUUGGGGCUUUGAUUAUAUGGGACCUUUUCCUGCCUCUAAUGGUUAUACACAUAUUUUAGUUGCUGGUGAUAACAUUACUAAGUGGGUAGAAGCUAUUCCAACUAGUAGUGCUGAUCAUAACACUUCUAUUAAAAUUCUUAAAGAAGUUAUUUUUCCGAGGUUUGGAGUCCCUAGAUAUCUUAUGACUGAUGGUGGUUCACAUUUUAUUCAUGGUGCUUUCCAUAAGAUGCUUGCUAAGUACGAUGUCAAUCAUAGAAUCGCAUCUCCUUAUCAUCCGCAGUCUAGUGGUCAAGUAGAGUUGAGCAAUAGAGAGCUUAAAUUAAUUUUGCAAAAGAUUGUGAAUAGAUCUAGAAAGAAUUGGUCCAAAAAACCUGAUGAUGCAUUAUGGGCCUAUAGAACUGCAUACAAAAAUCCUAUGGGUAUGUCUCCAUAUAAGAUGGUUUAUGGAAAAGCGUGUCAUUUACCUCUUGAACUUGAACAUAAGGCAUAUUGGGCUAUUAAAGAGCUCAAUUAUGACUUCAAACUUGCCGGUGAGAAGAGGUUGUUUGAUAUUAGCUCACUUGAUGAAUGGAGAACCCAAGCAUAUGAGAAUGCCAAGCUGUUCAAAGAAAAAUUUAAACGCUGGCAUGAUAAGAGGAUACAAAAGCGUGAGUUUAACGUAGGAGACUAUGUAUUAUUAUUCAACUCUCGUUUAAAAUUUUUUGCAGGAAAACUUCUCUCAAAAUGGGAAGGUCCUUACGUUAUCGAGGAGGUCUAUCAUUCUGGUGCCAUAAAAAUCAACAACUUCGAAGGCACGAGUCCGAGGGUGGUAAACGGUCAAAGAAUUAAACAUUAUAUCUCAGGUAAUCCUAUCAAUGUUGAAACUAAUAUUAUUGAAACCGUAACCCCUGAGGAAUACAUAAGGGACACUUUCCAGAAUGUUCCAGACUCUGAAAAGGUAUAG
rnacentral:rRNA from 1 species